CAGGCCUCCCCCUCGGGCGUAGCUCUCAGAGGCGGAGGCGUCCGGCCCCACACUUGGUGCCAACAAGAUCCCACAGCUAUGGGCCCGGACAGACGUGGGACAGAGAGACUGGCCAACUGGGCCCGGCGAGGCCACCCCCCAGCCGCGUCUGGCCCACGGUUAAGGCCAGCAAAUCAAGGCUGGAAGAAUGCUUGCGGAAGAAAGGAAACUAAACAGCGUGAUUUUUUUCCUUGCGACUUGGAUUUGAGGCCCACAGGCCCACCUCCUCCUGGAAGACCUCCGGACCCCUCGGCCCUCCGUUGGGCAUCACACCGGUGCCCUGAGAGCUCAGUGGACCCGAGAGCGAGUCCCACAACUGCCUGAGAGGUGGGCCCAGCCUGCCCAUUUUACAGGUUGAGGAGACAGAGGCCCAGACGGAACCAGGGCCAAAGCUUCUUGGACCACGACGUACCCAGAGGCGACCCAGGCCUCGGACCUCAGAGUCCAGGUCAGGAGAAAUGACCAGCGGGCACUGUCACCACGGAUGACACAAAAGGGAGGAAGCACCUGCUGGGCUCUGGUCAGAGGGAGGAUGGAGCCAUAUCUUCAGAUGCUGCAAACUGUUCCUGGUCCAUUUGAUGGGGCUGAGGCUGUGCCAGGAGCAUCGGAACCCCCCAAGGGUAGGGUGCCCAGGAUAAGCAGGGAGGCCAGCGGUUCUGGGGUGCCCCGAGCCCAGACCACCCAGAGAGAGGCUGCGUGGGAGCUGUACCCCACAGAAGCUCGCACGCUGUGCCUGCCAGGACACCGGGAACAAGGGACAACCCCACCAGGCCACAUCCGCUACGUCCUCAUGCCCAGCAGGCCAGGCUUUUGGGGAGAAGGUGGCCACGCCAUCCCCACAUUUUCCAUCCACCGGGGUGCUCUGUGCCUCACCUGCCUCUGUGACCUGCACAAAGCGCCCCCCAUGCUUUAUCCCCACCUGUCAGAACCGGGAGCUGGGGCGUCCCCUGAGGCCCACAGACGCCACUGGACCACUACCCGGGUGGGUAGGGGCUCUGCUGGGAGGAAGUGCCCAGGAUCCAGCCCCCUCCCCCCCCAUCCAC
rnacentral:lncRNA from 1 species